rnacentral:rRNA from 1 species
GUUCGCCGGAAGACCAAGGGUUCCUGUCCAACGUUAAUCGGGGCAGGGUGAGUCGGCCCCUAAGGCGAGGCUGAAAAGCGUAGUCGAUGGGAAACGGGUUAAUAUUCCCGUACUUGGAUAAACUGCGAUGUGGGGACGGAGCAGGUUAGGUUAUCGCACUGUUGGAUAUGUGCGUUUAAGUUGGUAGGUGUGAAGUUUAGGCAAAUCCGGACUUCUUUAACACCGAGAGAUGAUGACGAGGCUCUACGGAGCUGAAGUAACCGAUACCACACUUCCAGGAAAAGCCACUAAGCUUCAGGUUUAUCUAAACCGUACUGAAAACCGACACAGGUGGUCAGGUAGAGAAUACUCAGGCGCUUGAGAGAACUCGGGUGAAGGAACUAGGCAAAAUAGCACCGUAACUUCGGGAGAAGGUGCGCCGGCGUAGAUUGUAGUCCCUUGCGGAUGAAGGUUGAACCGGUCGAAGAUACCAGCUGGCUGCAACUGUUUAUUAAAAACACAGCACUCUGCAAACACGAAAGUGGACGUAUAGGGUGUGAUGCCUGCCCGGUGCUGGAAGGUUAAUUGAUGGUGUAAUCGAAAGAGAAGCUCCUGAUCGAAGCCCCAGUAAACGGCGGCCGUAACUAUAACGGUCCUAAGGUAGCGAAAUUCCUUGUCGGGUAAGUUCCGACCUGCACGAAUGGCAUAAUGAUGGCCAGGCUGUCUCCACCCGAGACUCAGUGAAAUUGAAAUCGCCGUGAAGAUGCGGUGUACCCGCGGCUAGACGGAAAGACCCCGUGAACCUUUACUAUAGCUUGACACUGAACAUUGAAUUUUGAUGUGUAGGAUAGGUGGGAGACUUAGAAGUAGUCACGCCAGUGAUUAUGGAGUCGUCCUUGAAAUACCACCCUUUAACGUUUGAUGUUCUAACGAAGAUUACGAAACGUGGUCUCGGACAGUGUCUGGUGGGUAGUUUGACUGGGGCGGUCUCCUCCCAAAGAGUAACGGAGGAGCACGAAGGUUUGCUAAUGACGGUCGGACAUCGUCAGGUUAGUGCAAUGGUAUAAGCAAGCUUAACUGCGAGACAGACAAGUCGAGCAGGUACGAAAGUAGGUCAUAGUGAUCCGGUGGUUCUGAAUGGAAGGGCCAUCGCUCAACGGAUAAAAGGUACUCCGGGGAUAACAGGCUGAUACCGCCCAAGAGUUCAUAUCGACGGCGGUGUUUGGCAC